GAAUAUUGGUCAAUGGACGCAAGUCUGAACCAGCCAUGCCGCGUGGAGGAUGAAGGUCCUCUGGAUUGUAAACUUCUUUUAUCUGGGACGAAAAAAGGCUUUUCUAAGUCGACUGACGGUACCAGAUGAAUAAGCACCGGCUAACUCCAUGCCAGCAGCCGCGGUAAUACGGAGGGUGCAAGCGUUAUCCGGAUUCACUGGGUUUAAAGGGUGCGUAGGCGGGUAUGUAAGUCCGUGGUGAAAUCUCCGAGCUUAACUCGGAAACUGCCAUGGGUACUGCGUAUCUUGAAUGUUGUGGAGGUGAGCGGAAUAUGUCAUGUAGCGGUGAAAUGCUUAGAUAUGACAUAGAACACCAAUUGCGAAGGCAGCUCACUACACAAAUAUUGACGCUGAGGCACGAAAGCGUGGGGAUCAAACAG
rnacentral:rRNA from 1 species